AAAAGUAAGAGAUACUAAUUGAGAAACACAAGUUUUCAUUUGUAGUUGAUGCUAAAAGCCUUCAAAUACAUGAGUAUUUAUAGGUUCUACUACUCCUUCUACUACUACUUCUAAUACUACUACUAUCACUAAUACUACUACUACUACUAAUAAUACUAUUGCUACUGCUACUACUGUUACUAUUUUUAUUAUUGCUACUAUUGUUACUACCACUGUUACUACUACUGCUGCUAAUACUGCUACUCCUCUUGCCACUAUUACUGUAU
rnacentral:lncRNA from 1 species